UCCUGGGUGGCUCAGUGGUAAAGAAUCUGCCUGCCAGUGCAGGAGACGCAGGUUUGAUCCCUGAUCCAGGAA
rnacentral:tRNA from 1 species